GUCUCUGUGGCGCAAUCUGUUAGCGCGUUCGGCUGUUAACCGAAAGGUUGAUGGAUCGUGUCCAUCCAGGGACG